rnacentral:rRNA from 1 species
CCUACGGGAGACAGCAGUAGGGAAUCUUCCACAAUGGGCGAAAGCCUGAUGGAGCAACGCCGCGUGGGUGAAGAAGGUCUUCGGAUCGUAAAACCCUGUUGUUAGAGAAGAAAGAGCGUGAGAGUAACUGUUCACGUUUCGACGGUAUCUAACCCGAAAGCCACGGCUAACUACGGGCCAGCAGCCGCGGUAAUACGUAGGUGGCAAGCGUUAUCCGGAUUUAUUGGGCGUAAAGGGAACGCAGGCGGUCUUUUAAGUCUGAUGUGAAAGCCUUCGGCUUAACCGGAGUAGAGCAUUGGAAACUGGGAGACUAGAGUGCAGGAGAGGAGAGUGGAACGGGAGGUGUAGCGGUGAAAUGCGUAGAUAUAAGGAAGAACACCGAUGGCGAAGGCAGCUCACUGGUCUGUAACUGACGCUGAGGUACGAAAGCGUGGGUAGCAAACAGGAUUAGAUACCCCAGUAGUC